rnacentral:rRNA from 1 species
GAUGAACGCUAGCGGCAGGCCUAAUACAUGCAAGUCGAACGGGAUCUGAGGGUAGCUUGCUACCCGAUUUGAGAGUGGCGCACGGGUGCGUAACGCGUGAGCAACCUACCCAUAACAGGGGGAUAGCCCGAAGAAAUUCGGAUUAACACCGCAUAAUAAUACGCUAACACAUGUUGAUGUAUUUAAAUAUUUAUCGGAUAUGGAUGGGCUCGCGUGACAUUAGCUAGUUGGUAAGGUAACGGCUUACCAAGGCGACGAUGUCUAGGGGCUCUGAGAGGAGAAUCCCCCACACUGGUACUGAGACACGGACCAGACUCCUACGGGAGGCAGCAGUAAGGAAUAUUGGUCAAUGGGCGCAAGCCUGAACCAGCCAUGCCGCGUGCAGGAUGACUGCCCUAUGGGUUGUAAACUGCUUUUGUUAGGGAAUAAACCUUCUUACGUGUAAGGAGCUGAAUGUACCUAAAGAAUAAGGAUCGGCUAACUCCGUGCCAGCAGCCGCGGUAA